CUCGCCUUAUAUCAUGAGCAAUUCACACUAACAGUCAGCACCGGAGCAAGCUAGAAGAUGGCUGUUUUUAUUGCUGGAGUAGUGGGCAUUAUCGUUUUUUAUUUAAUCAUACUUGGACUUGGUAUAUGGGCUGCACAAAAGAAAAAACAAGGAGAAGAGGAGACGAUCCUGGCAGGACGAUCCAUUGGAGCAGCACUGGGAACUUUUACUUUGACAGCAACUUGGGUUGGUGGAGGAUACAUCAAUGGUACUGCUGAGGCUGUUUAUGAUAAAGGUCUUAUAUCUGCUCAAGCACCUUGGGGAUAUGCAACAAGUCUUGCCCUAGGUAAUAAAAAAUAAAAA